UUUAAGAUCUUCCUGGCUCUUGGAAUUGAUUUUCAAUUAAAACCUGGACAUUCUGGAAAUUAUAAGGCUCUGCAUCUUAUUAGGAUCUACUUUAGUUAGUUUAACCUGAAACCACUCCAGUGGAAGGCAAGGGUCAUUGCCUUGAUAUUGCUAAAUGGAGGCUGAAGUUCAGGUUCCCACUUAGCUACUGUUGUCACCCAAGGGUGUAUCUUGUUACUGCUGAGUGCAAGUGGAAGUUCCAACUCCCCAGUAAGCCUCCACUGGUCCUUCCCCAGCUCCUAGGAGUGAGAAUGUCUUAUUACUGCCCACUACAUGGCCUUCACUAAUGUAACAGGGAAGGGUGGCGUUUUUACCACUGGGUGGUGAUGAAAGUCCUGACCUACCACUUGGCCUCUGACACCACCCCAGCAGAGAGGGAGGCACCUUGUUACUGCCAGAUGGGCAGUUGGAAGACCAGGAUCCCUGCAUGGUCUCUACUAACACUAUGGGAAGAACAUCUACCAAAUGAAGGAAUGGACUGUAGUGAAGAGCAAUGAUUUUUACCAAGGUGGGUUACGGUUCAUCCAGACACUGGACUUAGCUGAGCUCAGCCCUCACUACGGAUGAGACUCCCUGCCAGCUUUCAGGACCUCUCCAAUCAGGAGCAAAAGGCGGGUGAAUGGAGUUUUACAACAACAGGUGACAAGUCCUGCAGCGAAGGUGUGGGAGGGAACAGAAAGGAACCGAUUCCCUGCCCUGGGGUCGGAGAAGGCGUCUCAGGCACCAAGCGAAUGGAUCCUGUGAGCGUGCCCAUUCAGCGGGUGGGCACGAGAGGGGUGGCCGGACCUGGGCAGAACGAGCAGCCUAGGGAAAGUUAGGAGGGGACUCUAGGAGACCCAGACGGGCUUGCUCAGGAGGGCAGAACCCAGACGGCGAAGAGAGCCCCGACGUACUCUCAUCAGCGAGAGGUGGAUUCCCGGCCCUGAGGAAGCGACUUCUGGAAAUCCUGCUCCCUCGUCCGAGGGGUGGGCACGACGCUUCAAGGGCCGCGGGCAGCACUGACCUGCAGGCGGGCCACGCAGCAGAACACGGCUGACGGGUUUCGGAGGUGGAUCCGCUCGGUCAGCAGAUUGCUACCGUAGGCGAAGUACAGAAAACUCUCCCCCUCCUGGCCCCGGAGGUCCUCACAGCCCGAAUUCGCCAUGCUCCACCCAGACACCUGCACCGCAGCGGUGUCGGCGGCAAGACCGUGAGGAGAUGACUGCGAGCGUCCCAACUUCAGUGGCAAACCGGCCGGCGACUCUAGGGUUAGGGGAAACGCGGGAAGCGUGGGCGCGGCGAGUCGGAUGCGACCGCCCUUGCGAUUGGCUGCCGGUCACAAAUGUUGAGUCACCCCAUCUGAUUGGCCAAGCCCAUCACCUCCUCUCAAUGCUCCAGUAAGGAUUCUGAAACACUCAGACCUGAGGCGACCGGGAGCCGACUCCUCAUUGGACAUGAUCCUCUUGUUGUCCCGCCCCGGUGUUCAAGCCUCCCUCUGAUUGGCUGGUUCCGGCUUCCCCAGCCCUGAUCAUCUGCGUGGAGAAGCCCCUCCGAAUGUCUGGGAUUCCCUUCCCCGACGGAAGUAGCGAGCCGGGUUCAAAUCCCGAUGAUGCCAUUUACUGGCCACGUACGCUUGGGCAGCUCUCAUCUGUUUCCUCCUUUUAAAAUAGAGAUUUUAAUAUAAAUUAUGAUCACAGUUACAUAACUUAUGAUCCCUUAUCUCACAGGGUUGGUUUAAGUACUUAAAGAAUAGUUUUGUUAAUGUGAUUACGAGCAAAAACUCCAGUGUAAAAUAAGAUAUAAAAGCCUAAGAACAAUGAAAUAAAACCUUGUAUCCUUAAACUUUGAAAUGAAAGUAUUAAUUUAAACUCAGGGGAAUGGCUGGCUAUCCUUGGUACCCAGAUUUUGAUUUCUAAAUACCACUCUCCACCAAAAGGUAUGAGGGAUCGUCGGAGAAAUUGUUUAUGCCAGGUCAAAAGCUAGGAAUGAGUAGGAGCGGUUGGAACAUCUUGUGACAGAAAGUCUGGAAGUAUCCAAGAAAAAUGAGGUCCUUUCAGAAGGACAUGGGAGCCAGCUUGAAGGAAUGCCCACUGGCCAAAAGUAGAACAAUUUGAGUACCAAAAAUAAUGACUGCAAUUGAUUGAAAAUGUCAGACAGAAAAGUCCCACCAAAAGAGUAAACCAAAUAUAAAACGCAAUUUUUAAAAACCUAAUUUGCCAUGGUGACUAUUACAGCAACUCUUUACUCUGAAAAGUGGUAAUUUAAGAAAAUUUAAACAUUUAUCCUGCCCUUCUACUUGCGGCUGUAUUUCAGGGGUAACCAAAUAGUCUCAGUUAAUGAGGAAGCGGUUCUCUUUACAAAAGUGUGCCAGCUAAAUAAUGCAAAAUGAAUGAUACAAUGAGAAAAUCACCAUUUUGUAGCCCCUAAUGAAAUAAUUGAUUUAUGCCAGGAUCAUCAAUGAAACCAUUUGGUGAAAGGGUGAUGGGGAACAGAAUACUCGCAUAGGGCCAAAUUAUCCCCCAAGGAUUACUCGCUGUAGUCAGAAGGAAAACAUAAUGACAAUGAAGAAAUCUGUUCCCUCCCACCGUAACCUAGAUCAAACUUAUAAUCACGAAAAAUGUACCAACCUGACAUUACGUCUCUCCUGAUGUGAUACAAUGGGAGGCUCCAGUAUGGUCUAUGAAGUAUUGUUUCCCAAACUCUUUCACUUCUAUACAAUCAAGCAUAAGCAGGAACUACAAGGAUAGAAGAAUAGAAAUGACACCAAGAGGAAACAAUCAGAAAAAUCAUGAACAAAUGGUGGGGCAUCCUGCAGAAUAAAUGAACAAAUGGCUGUCUCUUAAAUUAAGUCAGUGUAAUUUAAAAAAAAAAAAAAAAGGCAGGACUGAGCACAGGCUGUUCUAGGUUAAAAGAAACUAAGAGACAUGAUAACUGCAUGCAAUGGCUUGUCCUUGGUUGUAGUUCAAUAAACCAGAUAUAAAAGAUAUUUUGGAGACAAUUAAAUCUGAAUACAAAGUAGGGGAUGAGAUGAUAUUAAAAACUGCUUUCUUUAUUAGGUAUGAUAAUAGCAUUGUGUUAUGUGGAAAGAUAUCUCUAUUUUUAGAUAUACAUAUUCAUGUAUUUAGGGGCAAAAUGUUUGCUAUCUAUAUUUAUUUGAAAAUAAUUCAGAAAAAUUGAAAUGUGGAAAGUGUUAAAUGUUCAAUCAACUGAUGUGGAUAUGGAUGUUCAUUUUAUUAUUCUAGCUAUUCUUUUCUAUAUAGUUGAACAUUUUCAUGUUAAAAAGUCAAAAAGGGAAAAUGGUGAUAUUUGUAAAGCACUGGGCAGACAGCACUCAGAGAGCAAUAACACUGUUGUUAGAUAAUCGGAAAAUAGGAAGGUCGGUCCCCUCCCCCUCCCCCAAACAUCAAGGUGGAACUUGAAAUGCAGACUUGGGAACUUGCUGGCAAGAUAGUGCUCUAUUGCAUCAGAAUUCUCAAGGCCUCUGCUUCGGAGCAUCCCCACUUAAAAUGUCCUUCUGCAUUUUAAAUUGCUUUUAGACAUUCUAAAUGUAUUUAUUAUUUAAUGAUUUUCUAAGUCUUUGACUUUUUUUCUCACCCUACAUUUCUCACUAAUUGCUUAAUUUUAUGGUUAUUGAUUUUUCUUAAUACCCUUUUACAAAAAUUUUCUGAAGCACUGCUGUUUCCUCAAACACUGAAAAAUCUUUUCUUAAGCCCAUGAAGCAUUUUAUUUAGCUUCCCCAUGCAGAUUGCUGUGUGCUGACCCCUGUUGGCCAAGGCAGUAGAUAGCAAGCUUUUUUUGUUUUUCCGAAUUUAACCAAAGCUUGGUUAAUACUCGUUAACAUUCAUUGAACACUUAUCAAAUGCCAGGCACCAACCUAAAUUCAUAUAUAUUAGCUGAUUUAAUCCUGAAAAUAGCCCUAUGCAGGAAGUGCUAAUACUAUUCUCCUGUUACAGUGGAGGAAGCUGAGGUAAGUUAACUAAUUUGCCCCAGGCUGUAGCUAGCAAUGACUGGCCAAGCACUCUGAUUCUAGAGGCAUUACGGGGUACUGCUUCCCAAAUUUCUCAAGCUGAAAAGCCCUGGUGGUCUAGAAAAAAACUGGUUAUUAAUAACCCUCUUUCAAGUACAAUCUCUACCUUACCCAUAAGGGUAUUAUAAAAUAAUAAUUCUAGCUUUCACUCACUUGAUAAUGGGUUAAUGAGGUCAAAUUUCUUUCAAGGGCCAUUAUUCAGUCUAGUGGUGUUUAAAGUUUUUUUAUUGUAUUAUUAAAGUUUUUUUAUUGUAUUAUUAAGAUUUUUGAACACACACACACACAAUGUAUAUGGUAUACUACUUACAAAAUGACAAUUUAAAAAUAACUAUUUAAUUGUCAUGUUAAUGCAAAACAUACAUUUAGGGUCAAGUUAAUUACAAAUAAUAGUGGAUAGAAAUCCAUAUUUCAAAUAGUCCUCUUGCAAAAUUUUUUGGCUGACCGUGUCAGAUCUUAUCAGAUCAUCAUUGUUUUUAUACCAUAAUGUAGGUGAUAAAGAGCUUGUACCAGAAGUCAAGAACGUGAGCUUGGUACCUUUCUUUUUUUACUUGUGCUUGCAAUUUCAGUAAGAGCUUUAGUCCAGUUUUUUACAGAAAUUGUUUUUUGUGUGAGAAUUAGUUAGUUCUCUGUGAGUCCACUUAAGCAAACACCAGUGAGUUGCAGCAGGUCACAAGACACAGCAAGUGAAUGAAUGAGGGCCAUGCCACCAUUACCCCUCCUCGGGAAGACAUUCCCACCUGUCCUCUAGGAUACCGCACCUCUUAUUAGAUAUAAUAACUAUCUGACUGACUCUGGGGUCUAGUGUCAGAGUAAAGCUAAAUUCUUAUAUUAGGAUAUAAGCAUAUAUACUACAUAUAGUAAAAUACAGUAAAUCGAAAUUAUACUAUUUUAGCUCACAAAAUAGAUUUUUGUUUUCACACCCAGUAGAUCAACUUGCUCACCCACUUUGAAUAAUUGUUAUCUUAUUUAUUUAUUUUUGAGACAGAAAAUGUGAGUGUGAGCAGGGGAGGGGCAGAGAGAGAGGGAGAGAGAGAGAAUCUCAAACAGGCUCCACAAGAUGUGGGGCUCGAUCUCAUGACCCAAGCCAAAAUUAAGAGUUGGAUGCUCAACUGACUGAGCCACCCAGGUGUCCCUAACAUUUUAUAUAUUUAUUUACUUAUUUAUUUUAGAGAGAGAGCGUGAGCGGGGGAGAGGGGCAGAGGGAGAAAGAAAGAGAAUCUUAAAGCAGGCUCCACUCUCUGUGUGGAGUCUGACCCAGAGCUAAUCCCUUGAUCCUGGGAUCAUGACAGACACUCAACCGACUGAGCCACCCAGGCGCCCUUAGCAUUAUCAUUUUAAAAAGAACACUUCAAUGUCAAAUAUUUGCACAUUAUGGCAAGUUUGAAGAGUUGUAUAGUAAGAAGACUAUGUGUCUCCUGAGUAAGGCCAACCUGGCUGCUUAGGCAAGGUCAUUCAGGGCAGUAGUACUAUAGUGGGACAGAUAGGACUGGUUCUCAUGAAUCUGUUUCUUAGCUCUGUGGAUUGGAAAAUUCAGUCUUGGCUCUGGGAGCAGAUGCACACUAACUAGACUUAUAAGAGACAGAUGUACACAUCAGAAUGCCAAUUAGUUGAUAUGUGAUGAGAGCUGUAACAAAUAAACCAGAUUCGUGUGUUCACUGAUCAAUGCAUUUUCUUCCAUUAGGAAAAUAAAUAACACGAGAAGUCUCCAGACAUGAGUUUAGCAUGUUUUAGGAACUACAGGUCAGGUGGUUAAAGAGGAAGGAAUACGAGGAGUGACAGGAGAUGAGGCUGAGAGACAGGCAAGGGCAAGCUCACGUAACGCCUCGAAGGCCAUGUUAAGGAAUCUGGAUUUUAUUCUAAGAAAUGAAAAGCUGUUUGGGCAGAGAUACGAUCUGACUUACUUUCCAAUAGGAUAAUUCUAGAUGCUGAGUGGAGAAUCAAUUCCAAGGGGAUAAAGAGGAUAUUUAAGAGACACAUAAAGAAGCUGUUGCAGAAGUUUUGACAAGAGUGGAUGGUGGCCUUGGACUCCCUAGGGUAGUGGGAGGGAAGCGAGAGAGAAGAGGACUGAUCUGGGGUGCCAUUUAUGGUAGAGAAGAUUGGACUUGCUGAAGACUGGAGGGGUGAUUCCAUGCCUACCAAACAACUUUCCAAUUCUAGUCUGUGUCCUUAGUAGAUUCUCCUUCUAGAAGGAAGCCUUGAUCAGAGAUCACAGGGACGUGAUUUUCCUGCUAAUUCCAAUUUUCUUUCCUGAGAAUUUGAACUUGAGUCUGGGAAGGGUUAGGUUACUUUCUGGGCGCUGAGACUAUAGCUUGUGAUGCUCUGAGCUGGUGUCAGCCACGUUUGCGCAGAUGGAAUGGGAAGAGGAAGAAGGUGACCUGAGUGACAGAAAAGAAAGCAGACCGCACCUAAGGAGAGAAUGGUGCUAGAGAAAUCCAAGUCCUGAGCUUACUGAAGUGUCUGGAUCCUGGUGUUACCAGACCCAGCUGAGUUUCUCACUUUGUUUUUCCCAAGAUAGUCUCAUAAACCUUAUUCUCCACACUGGUAAUUAAAUGAUUCUAUUAAAUGCACAUAGGUUAUGAGGAAUACAGCAUAUUUAAUCCUGCCACAAUUUUAUUUUAUUUUAUUCUAUUUUAUUUUGAGAGAGAGAGAGAGAGUGGGAGCAGG